CCCACCUGACCCCAUGCCGAACUCAGAAGUGAAACGCCGUAGCGCCGAUGGUAGUGUGGGGUCUCCCCAUGUGAGAGUAGGGCAUUGCCAGGC
rnacentral:rRNA from 2 species